rnacentral:rRNA from 1 species
CCUACGGGAGGCUGCAGUGAGGAAUAUUGGUCAAUGGACGAGAGUCUGAACCAGCCAAGUAGCGUGAAGGAUGACUGCCCUAUGGGUUGUAAACUUCUUUUACAUGGGAAUAAAACGUUCCACGUGUGGGAUUUUGUAUGUACCAUAUGAAUAAGGAUCGGCUAACUCCGUGCCAGCAGCCGCGGUAAUACGGAGGAUCCGAGCGUUAUCCGGAUUUAUUGGGUUUAAAGGGAGCGUAGGUGGAUUGUUAAGUCAGUUGUGAAAGUUUGCGGCUCAACCGUAAAAUUGCAGUUGAAACUGGCAGUCUUGAGUACAGUAGAGGUGGGCGGAAUUCGUGGUGUAGCGGUGAAAUGCUUAGAUAUCACGAAGAACUCCGAUUGCGAAGGCAGUUCACUGGACUGCAACUGACACUGAGGCUCGAAAGUGUGGGUAUCAAACAGGAUUAGAUACCCGUGUAGUC